UGCGAAUUAAUGCAACACGCAACACGUGAGUCAUCGAGUCUUUGAACGCAUAUUGCACCCGACAGGCUCGCUUGUCGGGUCUGCCUGUUUGAGUAUCAGUUUACCCCAACAGCCCGCGCUGUGUGUGUGCAAACGCAUGCGGUGCGCGGUUUGUUGGUGCUCGCGGUGCGCAUCUUGUGUGCGUGCGGCGGAUCUGGCGUCUCGGAGUCUCUUGCGUACACUGUGUGCUGAAUUGCAUUGGUCGACCGGCGCAUCAACCAACGUGUUGGGUUCGGACCGACUCGAUUAAUAAAGUUAAUCAUCUGUCUGGGUGUAUUUGUUAACUCGGCGCGGUUAUCCCUCCCGAACAUGGCCGUGAUGUACGUCCGAACCACCCACCACACUUGCGCGCGGUUUCACCGCCGCUCGCACGCGUACACUCUUCAAACCUUGAUCUCUAAUCAGGCAGGAUGACCCGCUGAAUUUAAGCAUAUCAGUAAGCGGAGGAAAAGAAACUAACCAGGAUUCCCUUAGUAACGGCGAGUGAAGCGGGAAUAGCCCAAUCUGAAAAGCUGGCCGGCCCCGGCGCCGGACCCGCGUUGUAGGUUGAUGAAGCGUUGCCUAGCAGCAGACCUUUCGGCCAAAGUCUCUUGGAACAGAGCGUCAUAGAGGGUGAUAACCCCGUGUGUGGCCGGACGACAUCACAGUCUGUUGCGCCGACGGCGCGUUUUCUUAGAGUCGGAAUGUUUGGGAUUGCAUUCCAAAGCGGGUGGUAAACUCCAUCUAAGGCUAAAUACUGGCGAGAGACCGAUAGCGAACAAGUACCGUGAGGGAAAGUUGAAAAGCACUCUGGAGAGAGAGUCAAACAGUACGUGAAAUUGCUAGCAGGGAAACGUUGGGCACCAGUACGCGGCGAUCAACGACGAUGAUCAGCCGGCCGGGCUGCGGCGGCGACUGUGCGGCUGCAUCCGCUUCGGGGACUGGCCUUAGGGUCGCCCACGUACAGUCGUCCGGCCGCCCGGGCCGGUGCACUCUUUGUCGGCCGGGUCAACAUCGGUUGCCGGCGUCCGACAAGCGGCCGGGCAAGGUAGCAGCCGGACAGUCCCUGCGGCUGUCCAGCUGAACUUAUAGGCCUGGCAUGCGAGGACGGCGGCGACCGAGGAGGCAUCGCGGUGCGCGCAUCCCCCGGGGUGCAGGGCGCGCCGGCGCGGUUGAGGUUGCCCGUGGCGCUGGACAGCUUGCUGACCAGCGUUCAUUCUAGCACGCUUCGGCGUGUUAGCGGCGGCCGCUGCGCCGGCGCAAGCCACUAGCGCGCCC
rnacentral:rRNA from 1 species